UACGGAGGGUGCAAGCGUUAUCCGGAUUCACUGGGUUUAAAGGGUGCGUAGGCGGGUUGGUAAGUCCGUGGUGAAAUCUCCGAGCUUAACUCGGAAACUGCCGUGGAUACUAUCAAUCUUGAAUGUCGUGGAGGUAAGCGGAAUAUGUCAUGUAGCGGUGAAAUGCUUAGAUAUGACAUAGAACACCAAUUGCGUAGGCAGCUUACUACACGAUUAUUGACGCUGAGGCACGAAAGCGUGGGGAGCAAACAGG
rnacentral:rRNA from 1 species